rnacentral:rRNA from 1 species
GUAGGGAAUAUUGCACAAUGGAGGAAACUCUGAUGCAGCGACGCCGCGUGAGUGAUGAAGGCCUUCGGGUCGUAAAGCUCUGUCGCAGGGGAAUAACACAAUGAAGGUACCCUGUAAGAAAGGAUCGGCUAACUUCGUGCCAGCAGCCGCGGUAAGACGAGGGAUCCUAGCGUUGUUCGGAAUCAUUGGGCGUAAAGCGGAUGUAGGUGGCUAUGUAAGUCAGAUGUGAACGCCUGGGGCUCAACCCCAGAAGUGCAUUUGAUACUGCGUAGGUUGAGUGUCGGAGAGGUUACGAGAAUUGUUGGUGUAGUGGUGAAAUACGUAGAUAUCAACAGGAAUACCGGAGGCGAAGGCGGGUAACUGGCCGACAACUGACGCUGAUGCACGAAAGUGUGGGGAUCGAACAGGAUUAGAAACCCCGGUAGUCC